GGAUGUUUAAGUGGUGUUAACGGUGUGUUGCUAUGCAACUUCGUGAACUUCUACAUGGGGCCAGGAUUCAUUCAGUUCAGGAGCAUUUCUCAUGUCUUUGAGAGUAGGAUUGCAGCAUUUCUCAAGUCUUUCGGGAAGCAAAUAUUUCAGCAGAUUGUUUGGCAAAUAUUGCAGCAACCUGGUGCACCCAUUGUUUGGAAUCUCCUCGAGCUGCUCUUAAUCAAUAGCUUCUUCAUGAUAUGUGUGGUGUCUCUUAUGUUAGAGACUGUCUGUAGUUUCUUUUGAGCUUUGCUUUUCUAUUUGUACCUGAAAAAAAGAACGACUGAAGUUUGAACUUUGAAAUCAGAGGCAUGCAGAAAACAAUGAGAACAAGUGACAACCACCAAUGAGGGACAUGUUCGCUAAGACUGAAGCUUCCUUGACUUAAUCAAAUUUAAUAUUUUUACUUACAUUCUAUAAUUAUGUUUAGAUUAGUUUGAAAAGUUUUCGGUGUUAUACUGAUAAAUUAUAUAAAAGUUCGAUGUGCACAAAAUUAAUGAAACUAGCUGAUAGAAUUGGAGAAGUACUUCCAGAAAUAGAAGCAGCUUGGCAACUGCCCAUCCGAAAUUCAGGCACUAUACUUGCUAAAUAACACAAUUAAGAAAGCCAAGUAUCUUCUUCAGGACUGCUGUGAGUCUAGCAAACUAUAUUUGGAGAUGCAGCGGUCUCAAGAUGUCAAAGAUUUAGGAGCAGGUUUGGACAAAGUUUAGGCCAGAUUCAAACUAUGGUCCCAACCCUGUUGGCUGCCAAGAUCUCUCGCAUUACUGAUGAUCUAAAUGCAGCAAAAUUUAUGCUGGACUCUGCUGAUAAAGAGGCUGGUGAGGCUGCGUGAACUGUUUCAGCUGGCUACUUCUCCAUCUGAUUCAAGGGAAAAUUCUGAAAUGAAAGCUCUUAAAAAAUUGCCGCUAAA